GAGUUUGAUCCUGGCUCAGAACGAACGCUGGCGGCAGGCUUAACACAUGCAAGUCGAGCGCGUAGCAAUACGAGCGGCAGACGGGUGAGUAACGCGUGGGAAUCUACCCGGAACUACGGAAUAACAUGAAGAAAUUUAUGCUAAUACCGUAUACGCCCUUUUGGGGAAAGAUUUAUUGGUUUCGGAUGAGCCCGCGUUGGAUUAGCUUGUUGGUAGGGUAAUGGCCUACCAAGGCGACGAUCCAUAGCUGGUCUGAGAGGAUGAUCAGCCACACUGGGACUGAGACACGGCCCAGACUCCUACGGGAGGCAGCAGUGGGGAAUAUUGGACAAUGGGCGCAAGCCUGAUCCAGCCAUGCCGCGUGAGUGAUGAAGGCCUUAGGGUUGUAAAGCUCUUUCACCGGUGAAGAUAAUGACGGUAACCGGAGAAGAAGCCCCGGCUAACUUCGUGCCAGCAGCCGCGGUAAUACGAAGGGGGCUAGCGUUGUUCGGAUUUACUGGGCGUAAAGCGCACGCAGGCGGAUAUUUAAGUCAGAGGUGAAAUCCCGGGGCUCAACCCUGGAAUUGCCUUUGAUACUGGGUAUCUGGAGUACAGAAGAGGUAAGUGGAAUUCCGAGUGUAGAGGUGAAAUUCGUAGAUAUUCGGAGGAACACCAGUGGCGAA
rnacentral:rRNA from 1 species